rnacentral:misc_RNA from 1 species
GAUGAAGAACGCAGCGAAAUGCGAUAAGUAAUGUGAAUUGCAGAAUUCAGUGAAUCAUCGAAUCUUUGAACGCACAUUGCGCCCAUUAGUAUUCUAGUGGGCAUGCCAGUUCGAGCGUCAUUAAUUCCACUUAAGCCCUGCUUAGUGUUGGGAAUCUACUCUAGUGGUGCUACCCUGGAGCUACCCCUGAAAGGGGGCUGGCCCGGUAGCUACCCUGUAGUUCCUCAAAGAUAGUGCGCGGAGUUGCGUGGUCCUCUGAGCUUAGUAACUAUACACCUAGCUUUUGAGUGUCCCGCGGCGCCUGCCGUUUAAACCCCAUCUUUUAAUGGUUGACCUCGGAUCAGGUAGGAAUACCCGCUGAACUUAAGCAUAUCAAUAAGCGGAGGA